GCCUCGGUGGUGUAGUGGUAGAGCACGCUUUCCUGGGUAGCAUGAAACGCGGACUCGAUUCCGACCUGAGGCC